rnacentral:rRNA from 1 species
AGUGAACGCUGGCGGUAGGCCUAACACAUGCAAGUCGAACGGCAGCACAGUAAGAGCUUGCUCUUACUGUUGGCGAGUGGCGGACGGGUGAGGAAUACAUCGGCAUCUACUUUUUCGUGGGGGAUAACGUAGGGAAACUUACGCUAAUACCGCAUACUACCUACGGCUUAAAGCAGGGGAUCUUCGCACCUUUCCCGUUUCAAUUAGCCGAUGUCGGAUUAGCUAGUUGGCUGGGUAAAGUCCCACCAAGGCGACGAUCCGUAGCUGGUCUGAGAGGAUGAUCAGCCACACUGGAACUGAGACACGGUCCAGACUCCUACGGGAGGCAGCAGUGGGGAAUAUUGGACAAAGGGCGCAAGCCUGAUCCAGCCAUACCGCGUGGGUGAAGAAGGCCUUCGGGUUGUAAAGCCCUGUUGUUGGGAAAGAAAAGCAGCAGGUUAAUACCCCGCUGUUCUGACGGUACCCAAAGAAUAAGCACCGGCUAACUUCGUG